CACCGCUCGUCGCUACUACCGAUUGGAUGGUUUAUUGAGGUCGUUGGACUGGUGUCGUUGUAGUGGCUUUGCCGCUCGACUGAUGCUGAGAAGAUUACCUAAUUUGACUAUUUAGAGGAAGUAAAAGUCGUAACAAGGUUCCCGUAGGUGAACCUGCGGAAG
rnacentral:ncRNA from 1 species